rnacentral:rRNA from 1 species
UGCAGUAGAACGCUGAAGAGAGGAGCUUGCUCUUCUUGGAUGAGUUGCGAACGGGUGAGUAACGCGUAGGUAACCUGCCUUGUAGCGGGGGAUAACUAUUGGAAACGAUAGCUAAUACCGCAUAACAAUGGGUGACUCAUGUCAUUUAUUUGAAAGGGGCAAAUGCUCCACUACAAGAUGGACCUGCGUUGUAUUAGCUAGUAGGUGAGGUAACGGCUCACCUAGGCGACGAUACAUAGCCGACCUGAGAGGGUGAUCGGCCACACUGGGACUGAGACACGGCCCAGACUCCUACGGGAGGCAGCAGUAGGGAAUCUUCGGCAAUGGGGGCAACCCUGACCGAGCAACGCCGCGUGAGUGAAGAAGGUUUUCGGAUCGUAAAGCUCUGUUGUAAGUCAAGAACGAGUGUGAGAGUGGAAAGUUCACACUGUGACGGUAGCUUACCAGAAAGGGACGGCUAACUACGUGCCAGCAGCCGCGGUAAUACGUAGGUCCCGAGCGUUGUCCGGAUUUAUUGGGCGUAAAGCGAGCGCAGGCGGUUUGAUAAGUCUGAAGUUAAAGGCUGUGGCUCAACCAUAGUUCGCUUUGGAAACUGUCAAACUUGAGUGCAGAAGGGGAGAGUGGAAUUCCAUGUGUAGCGGUGAAAUGCGUAGAUAUAUGGAGGAACACCGGUGGCGAAAGCGGCUCUCUGGUCUGUAACUGACGCUGAGGCUCGAAAGCGUGGGGAGCGAACAGGAUUAGAUACCCUGGUAGUCCACGCCGUAAACGAUGAGUGCUAGGUGUUGGAUCCUUUCCGGGAUUCAGUGCCGCAGCUAACGCAUUAAGCACUCCGCCUGGGGAGUACGACCGCAAGGUUGAAACUCAAAGGAAUUGACGGGGGCCCGCACAAGCGGUGGAGCAUGUGGUUUAAUUCGAAGCAACGCGAAGAACCUUACCAGGUCUUGACAUCCCGAUGCUAUUUCUAGAGAUAGAAAGUUACUUCGGUACAUCGGUGAC